GAUGAACGCUGGCGGCGUGCCUAAUACAUGCAAGUCGAGCGAACAGACGAGGAGCUUGCUCCUCUGACGUUAGCGGCGGACGGGUGAGUAACACGUGGAUAACCUACCUAUAAGACUGGGAUAACUUCGGGAAACCGGAGCUAAUACCGGAUAAUAUAUUGAACCGCAUGGUUCAAUAGUGAAAGACGGUUUUGCUGUCACUUAUAGAUGGAUCCGCGCCGCAUUAGCUAGUUGGUAAGGUAACGGCUUACCAAGGCGACGAUGCGUAGCCGACCUGAGGGGGGGUACGGCCCACGGGGAACUGGGACCGGGCCCAGCCUCCUAGGGGAGGCAGCAGUGGGGAAUCUUCCGCAAUGGGCGAAAGCCUGACGGAGAAACGCCGGGGGGGUGAUGAAGGUCUUCGGUUCGUAAAACUCUUUUAUUGGGGAAAAAAAAAUGUGUAAGUAACUAUGCACGUCUUGACGGUACCUAAUCAGAAAGCCACGGCUACCUACGG
rnacentral:rRNA from 1 species